GGGUCCUCAUUUAAGGAGGACCCAAAAAGAUGCUAGAAUGGAUGGCUGUGGAUGUGGAGAGGGGCCCAUAGAGAAUGCCUAUGUAAAUGGCUUCAAA